rnacentral:rRNA from 1 species
AAGCUCGUAGUUGAAUUUCGGGGUUAGUAGGUUGGUCAUGCCUCCGGUAUGUACUGAUCUCACUGAUUCCUCCUUCCUUAUGAACCGUAAUGCCAUUAAUUUGGUGUUGCGGGGAAUUUGGACUGUUACUUUGAAGAAAUUAGAGUGUUUAAAGCAGGCUAACGCUUGAAUACAUUAGCAUGGAAUAAUGAAAUAGGACGUUCGAUCUUAUUUUGUUGGUUUCUAGGAUUGACGUAAUGAUUAAUAGGGAUAGUUGGG